CCUACGGGAGGCAGCAGUCGGGAAUUUUGCGCAAUGGGGGAAACCCUGACGCAGCAAUACCGCGUGUGGGAUGAAGGCCUUCGGGUCGUAAACCACUUUUCUCGGGGACGAUAAUGACGGUACCCGAGGAAUAAGCCACGGCUAACUACGUGCCAGCAGCCGCGGUAAUACGUAGGUGGCAAGCGUUGUCCGGAUUUACUGGGCGUAAAGCGCGCGCAGGCGGUGAAUGAAGUCGAAAGUGAAAGCCCCGGGCUCAACUCGGGAACAGCUUUCGAAACCAGUUCACUUGAAGGUGGAAGAGGGAAGUGGAAUUCCGAGUGUAGCGGUGGAAUGCGCAGAUAUUCGGAGGAACACCAGAGGCGAAGGCGACUUCCUGGUCCAAUCUUGACGCUGAGGCGCGAAAGCUAGGGGAGCAAACAGGAUUAGAUAUCCUGGUAGUCCUAGCUGUAAACGAUGGAUACUAGGUGUUGGAGGUUUUAACCCCUCCGGUGCCGCAGCUACGACAUAAGUAUCCGUCCGUCGGGUAGGUACGGCCGGCGACGGACGUAAACCUAACAAACGGAAAGUUAGACGGCGUGAGACGNGCCGAACGGACGACGACGAGGGGAGGUUAGG
rnacentral:rRNA from 1 species